UGAAAGUCUGGGACAAGGGAAAAAGCUAAAUCUAUGAAUAAAGUAAAAUUUAAAAAUAAAGGCACAGUAAAAAAGUGAUUGUGAUCUUCAUAGUCUAAAUGUACAAAUAAAAUGUGAGCAAGCCAACAAACACCUUUACAAACAACAGAAGUUGACCCAAAGUGCUUUAGCCUACAACAAGGACACUCAAAAACUAAAGAAUAAAAAUAAGUUUUUAAAUAGGUCUUAAAAGUGGCAGUUGAUGAAGCUGACACUGGUAUUAUUCAGUUGUGCUGUAUACAUAUGAUUUAUAUUCUUACUUUUACCUGUUGUCUUCUUCAUAUGGCCAGUAGUACAUUAAUGUCUGUAUAAAGUUUAAACCACUAUUCUUCAGCCUCCCUCCAGCACAUUUGCAAAGAAAAUAAAAAAAAUAAAAAUCUGUAAAAUUAAACGGCGUUUAAAGUGGGUUGAGGGUCUCCAAGUGGCGAUAGUUAAAAAGGUGAGCAUUUUAACUCUGACAAAUGCACCGCCGCAAAGCAGGCUGGGUAGAAAAGCAGAAAGUAUGGCGGAAGAAGAAGAGCCGUUACUGCUGCUGAAUGAACAACGAGCACAGAUGGGCUUAUUACGACAUUAUUACACGGAUAUUUGGUCGUAUGCAAGCUUGUUUGAACAUUCGCUUAUUCCCUCUUUUUAGGCAGAAGAAAAGAAGGAGAAUAGCGGCGCUGACUGAGAAGAUAGAGAUGAGAUGAAAUGAAUAAGAGCUGGCUGCAGCAUGGCAGUUGAAGGUUGCAGCAUUGGUGACUGGGAUGGCUGAUGGAGUCAUGAAGAAGUUUCAGGAGAGAUCUGGCCCUUUCACACACCCAGACUUUGAGCCUAGUGAGGAGAUGCUGUUGCUCGGGACGGUGAUAACCUGAAGCAUGUGUUCUUGGAGUCUUUAGAGAGAGCAGCUGAGUUUAAUAUCCCCUCACUCAAGGUGUGGUUAAACUCAUCAUCCCUGCUGUUGCAUCCACAAAUGCAGUCAUUGCUGGUAUGGAUUUCACCUGAGAGGAAUCCCCCUAACCCUAUUUUCAGCUGCUUGCAUCACAGAAGUUUUUAAAAUUGCUACAAGACAAAUGAAGUUCCCAGCUAUCACUACAACACUUGAAGAGAAAAAUAAAACACUCUAUUUGCAGACCAUUACCUCAAUUGAAGAAAGAACAAAACCCAAUCUAUGCAAAACAUUGAAUGGUGAGAUCUUUUCCAGCCAUGAGAAACAUAUAAAAGCACAACUGAAAUUGAACUAUCGAACGAUCAGAAGGUUGCCAGCAUUAUCUGUUUUAUUCAACAUUCUUGCUAAUGGUUUGUUUGUAUGCGUGUAUGAUGAAGAGCUGGGAUUGGCUGAUGGACAGAAGUUAGCUGUCGCUGAUGUCACCACACCUCAGACUGUCAUCUUCAAGCUCAAGUUCACGUCAUAAACAUGCAGCAUUAACCAUGUACAAAAUUAAAUGAAUGGCAGAGGUUCCUCAAACUCACCUGUAACAGUUUCUUCACAAAUUAUACCUAUUGUAAAUUUUCCUUAUCUUUAUAUAAAUAACUCCCUUCAUUUUUAGAGUCUGUUUGCUUUGUGCUUCAGUCAUGUUUUGUUUUCACUUUAUCAUUCAUGAGGAAGGUUGUCAUUUUAUCAAUCAACAAUCCAGGCAAUUUUUUAGAUUAUGCAAGGAUGAUGAGUCCUGUACCACAAAGCAAGUUUAGCCAGGUAAGGUUCAGUACCACAAGUUUGUGUUCACUGGAUUAGUAACAAACACUGUAUGACUAACCGUUACAGGAUUGGUUUGAUCAUUAUGUUAUGUUUUCAAUCACAGAUCACCAGUCAGCUGAGAAUAAUGAAGUCACUCUCCCUGUAUCUCUUACUCCAUUUUUAUUUAUUUAUUUUUUUAUAAUGAUCAUAUUGUUCAUCAUGAUGUCUUGUGCUGUGUAUUUAAAUUCUUGAUGUUUUUCAUAAUUAUCAAUGAUCAAACCAAUCCUGUAACGAGUUUCUUUAACUUGUGGUACAGGGCUCUGGUACAUCUGUGUCAGUGGGAGUUUUUGUUUAACAUUUAGUUAUUAAGACUUUGCAAUAAGGUCCCAUUAGUUAAUGUCAGGUGAUGCAAUAACAAACAAUGAGCAAUAGCUUUAUUACAGUAUUUAUUAAGUGCAACUGUUUAUUGUUCGUUCAUCUGAGCAGGUACAUUAAAUAAUAAUAUUAACAGACAAUUUUAAGAUUAAUAAAUGCUUUAGAAGUCAUUUUUUAUUGUUUUUGUUAACUGUAGUUACUAAUGUUAACAAAUAGAUCCUUACUGUAGUGUUAAUAUUUGUUUCUUUUUAGUGGUUUGCUGUUCAGUCUUGUAAUAUAUGUUUAAGUUAAUGUAUGUAGGCUACAUAUUAUUUUAGCAUUUGUUUGUGAAUGAAUUUGCCUUAUAAUAAAAUCCUUUUCUGAAGUUGUUUGAAAUUUUUGCAAAUUUAUUUUUCAGUUAAAUAUAAGGAAAGGAUAGGUAGUUUUUGUAGCUGUUUUCACUAUUGAAAAAAAAAAACAUUUUGUCUGCGUUUAAAUAUUGUUAAAUAUGCUUUAAGUUUACUUAUUUACAUUUCUGUCUUUUAAUUGUUAAUGUAUGCACAUAAUAGUUUGUUGAUGGGAAUCUAACACAGCCAGACUUCAGCAGAUUCUAUUCUCAGUGAAGCGCUAUUAUGACGCGAGUGAUGCAGCAGGUAUAUAUGAACAUACUGAACUAGAAUUCUCUGUUGGGUGAUUUGGCGAUUGAUGCGGUUGGUGUUUUUGGUGCGGUUGGCGAGUUUCUACAGUUAUUGAAUUCCUUUGAUUAUUGAUUUUCGGUUUUUGACUCUCUUUCGGACUUUGACUAUCGGCUUUGGAUUUGCGACACAUUUUGAUUCUCGGUUUUUGACUCCCUUCUGUUUUUGACGCUCGAUUUUUGACUUCUUUGGAUUCCCGUUUUUGACCCUUUUCUGGUUUUGACUCUCGGCUUCGGACUCUCCUCGGAUUGGUUAACAGCUCGGCGACUGAAAAAAACGCCGAUCCUUUCAUUGAAAUGGGAGUGUUCGGAGUUUUAUCAGUGUGUCUGGAAACACAGAGAGCUGUGUUUGGUGUGCCCCUGAUCGGCCUGAGGAGGAGUGGACAGAUGAGGCAGGGUCUUCCUCUAGCGCUCAUGCACAUAGUGGAGUUUGUGGAGAAGCAUGGUCUCAGAGAGAGUGGACUGUUCAGGGUUGGCGGGAAAGUGAAACGCUGCCAGGAAUUGAGGAAAAGUUUUGAUCAAGGAGGCGUUCCGGAGUUUGACAGUGAGGAUAUUCCUACUCUCGCCUCAUUACUGAAACUUUUCCUCAGGGAAUUACCUGGUGGACUUAUUCCAGAGCCACACAGGACACAACUGCUGAAUGUGUUCAGGGAUUCAAAAGAGGAAGAAAUGAAUCAGGCUUUGAGGACAAUCCUGAACAGUCUUCCUGAGGAACAUUUUAACGUCCUCUGCUACCUGUCAUUCUUCCUGUCCCGUGUGGCUGCCGAGAGUCAUCUAAAUCUUAUGACAUCCAAGAACUUGUCAAUAGUUUUUGGACCCACCAUCUUUCAGAGGCAGGGGACACUCACUGGACUGAUGAAGAGUGUGCCCAACAGCUGCCACUCACAGAAAUCAGAUCAGAGCUACCUAAAAUUGGACGACUUGGGCGAUUGAGAAAAAGAUUAAGAAGUUUUGGAAGAAAGUUUUGCUCAUGCUUUGGCAGUAACAAAAUAGAGAAUGGAGAGGUCUCUGCAUGAAUGGAGACCUAGACGUAGGUCAGUAGAAGAUAAUUGGGCCGAUGAUCCUGACUGCAAGACACUGCGAUCUUUAAGGGUCACUGGAAGACAAUGAGGCCAGUGAGGGUCACUGCAUGACAUUGAGACCGGUGUGGGUCUCCAGAAGAAAAUUGGGCCGCCCUGUAAGACACUGGGGCCACUGAGCCUCAUCUCGAGACAUUGGGGCCAGAGAGGGUCACCAGAAGACACUGGGGUCACCACACAGCACUGGGGCCGGUGAGGGUCACCGGAAGUCAUUGGGGCCAGAGAGGGUCACCGGAAGACACUGGGGCCGGUGAGGGUCACCACACAGCACUGGGGCCGGUGACCCUCACCGUGAAACACUAGGGCUGGUGAGGUCUCCACAGAGCACUGGGGCCGGUAAAGGUAACCUCAAGACACUAGGGCAGGUGAGGGUCACCGGAAGACAUUGUGGCCGGUGAGGGCCACCACACAGCACUGGGGAUGGUGAAGUUAACUGCAAGACACAAGGUCUGGUGAGAGUCACUGGAAGACAACUGUGUCAUAAAACAGAGCAUCGGUACGGGGUGUCGUAAGGACAAUGUACAACACUUGAAAUGCAGUACAUAACAAUGGUGAUGGACGACAGCAGGUGUGAUUAUGAAGAUACAGACAAGACAGAUGCUGAUGUUGACUCUGAAGCUGAUUCAAUUAAAGCUUGUCAUUUUCAGUCAAUUAGUAGCGUCUCUCUUUUUUCUUUGUCUUUUGUUUGUAGUUGUUUAGGCAAGCUGAAUUAACAAAAUGUCAAAUUUAGAAAAAGCCCUGAUUCUGCACUCCAAAGUUCAGCUUUUUACAUUUACAUUUAUUUACACCAAAAUCAACACUGGUAUUACAAAACACCUGAUAUUAAACAUUUCUGACUAUCAGAAUUUUUUUAAAAAAGUUUAAACACUUGUAUUGUUGUUGUUUUCAAUAAACUCUAAUAUGGAAAUGAUAUUAUGAAAAAAAUAAUGUACCUGUAACAGUUUCUUUGCAAAUUAUACCUAUUGUAAAUUUUCCUUAUCUUUAUAUAAAUAACUCUCUUCAUGUUUAGAGUCUGUUUGCUUUGUGCUUCAGUCAUGUUUUGUUUUCACUUUAUCAUUCAUGAGGAAGGUUGUCAUUUUAUCAACCAACAAUCCAGACAAUUUUAAGAUUAUAUAAGGAUGAUGAGACCUGUACCACAAAGCAAGUUUAGCCAGGUAAGGUUCAGUACCACAAGUUUGUGUUCACUGGAUUAGUAACAAACACUGUAUGACUAACCUACCCCAGGCAGGGUAAGUUAUGUUUUCAAUCACAGAUCACCAAUCAGCUGAGAAUAAUGAAGUCACUCUCCCUGUAUCUCUUACUCCAUUUUUAUUUUUUAUUUUUUUAUAAUGAUUAUAUUGUUCAUCAUGAUGUCUUGUGCUGUGUAUUUAAAUUCUUGAUAUUUUUCAUAAUUAUCAAUGAUCAAACCAAUCCUGUAACGAGUUUCUUUAACUUGUGGUACAGGGCUCUGGUACAUCUGUGUCAGUGGGAGUUUUUGUUUAACAUUUAGUUAUUAAGACUUUGCAAUAAGGUCCCAUUAGUUAAUGUCAGGUGAUGCAAUAACAAACAAUGAGCAAUAGCUUUAUUACAGUAUUUAUUAAGUGCAACUGUUUAUUGUUCGUUCAUCUGAGCAGGUACAUUAAAUAAUAAUAUUAACAGACAAUUUUAAGAUUAAUAAAUGCUUUAGAAGUAAUUUUUUAUUUUUUUUGUUAACUGUAGUUACUAAUGUUAACAAAUAGAUCCUUACUGUAGUGUUAAUAUUUGUUUCUUUUUAGUGGUUUGCUGUUCAGUCUUGUAAUAUAUGUUUAAGUUAAUGUAUGUAGGCUACAUAUUAUUUUAGCAUUUGUUUGUGAAUGAAUUUGCCUUAUAAUAAAAUCCUUUUCUGAA